UACGGGGGGGGCAAGCGUUGUUCGGAAUUACUGGGCGUAAAGGGCUCGUAGGCGGCCAACUAAGUCAUACGUGAAAUCCCUCGGCUUAACCGGGGAACUGCGUCUGAUACUGGAUGGCUUGAGUUCGGGAGAGGGAUGCGGAAUUCCAGGUGUAGCGGUGAAAUGCGUAGAUAUUGGGAGGAACACCAGUGGCGAAGGCGGCUCACUGGACCGGAACUGACGCUGAGGCGCGAAAGCGUGGGGAGCAAACGGG
rnacentral:rRNA from 1 species